rnacentral:rRNA from 1 species
UACGGAGGAUGCAAGCGUUAUCCGGAUUUAUUGGGUUUAAAGGGUGCGCAGGUUGUUUGAUAAGUCAGUGGUGAAAGUCUGUCGCUUAACGGUAGGAUUGCCAUUGAUACUGUUAGACUUGAAUAUGGAUGAGGUAGGCGGAAUGUGUAGUGUAGCGGUGAAAUGCAUAGAUAUCACGAGGAACUCCGAUUGCGCAGGCAGCUUACUAAACCAUAACUGACGCUCAAGCACGAAGGCGUGGGGAUCAAACAGGA